rnacentral:misc_RNA from 1 species
UGGGACACCCUGACUACCUUGUAUACUUGGGUGAUGAGAUGAGUCAAAGGAUGAACCAACAUUCUGUAAACCCCAGUUCUGCGGUUUUGGCUGCUGAUGGAGAUCGUUGAAAAUAUCAUAAUUAGAAGGGAAACCUCUAGAUCCUUUGAUAUCAGAAUUCACCUCUUCCUGAAGCAUCCCUCGGUUAGUCAAAGUGGACAUCCCUGCACUAUUACUCCCAAGAGAAAAGUUGUAGUUUUGCAAAUCCUUGCUUUGAUUAACUGAGAAAUCUACCAUCGAAG